rnacentral:rRNA from 1 species
GACGAACGCUGGCGGCGUGCCUAAUACAUGCAAGUAGAACGCUGAAGGCGGAGCUUGCUUCUCUGGAUGAGUUGCGAACGGGUGAGUAACGCGUAGGUAACCUGCCUUGUAGCGGGGGAUAACUAUUGGAAACGAUAGCUAAUACCGCAUAAGAGUAGAUGUUGCAUGACAUUUACUUAAAAGGUGCAAUUGCAUCACUACCAGAUGGACCUGCGUUGUAUUAGCUAGUUGGUGAGGUAACGGCUCACGAAGGCAACGAUACAGAGCCGACCGGAGAGGGUGAGUGGCCGCACUGGGACUGAGACACGGCCCAGAGUGAUACGGGAGGCAGCAGUAGGGAAUCGUCGGCAAUGGACGGAAGUUUGACCGCGCAACGCGGCGUGAGUGAAGAAGGUUUCCGGAUCGUAAAGCUCGGUUGUAAGAGAAGAACGAGUGUGAGAGUGGAAAGUUCACACUGUGACGGUAACUGAUCAGAAAGGGACGGCUAACUACGUG